AGUAAUGUCUGGGAAACUGCCUGAUGGAGGGGGAGUAACUACUGGAAACGGUAGCUAAUACCGCAUAACGUCGCAAGACCAAAGAGGGGGACCUUCGGGCCUCUUGCCAUCAGAUGUGCCCAGAUGGGAUUAGCUAGUAGGUGGGGGUAACGGGCUCACCUAGGCGACGAUCCCUAGCUGGUCUGAGAGGAUGACCAGCCACACUGGAACUGAGACACGGUCCAGACUCCUACGGGAGGCAGCAUG
rnacentral:rRNA from 1 species